rnacentral:tRNA from 1 species
GCCUCUGUAGCUCAGUUGGUUAGAGCGCUGCACCGGAAUCGCUGGCCCGUAGGUUCAAUUCCUACCAGAGGAC